AUUGAACGCUGUCGGCAGGCCUAACACAUGCAAGUCGCGCGAGCGGCGGACGGGUGAGUAAUGUCUGGGAAACUGCCUGAUGGAGGGGGAUAACUACUGGAAACGGUCGCUAAUACCGCAUACCAUCAGCUUUGCCAAGAUGGGCUUAGAUAGUAGGUGGGGUAACGGCGCACCUAGGCGACGCUCCCUAGCUGGUCUCAGAGGAUGACAAGCCACACGUGAACUGAGACACGGUCAAGACUCCUACGGGAGGCAGCAGUGGGGAAUAUUGCACAAUGGGCGAAAGCCUGAUGCAGCCAUGCCGGGGGUGUGAAGAAGGCCUUCGGGUUGUAAAGCACUUUCAGCGGGGAGGCGUUACCAGCAGAAGAAGCACCGGCUAACUCCGUGCCAGCCGCCGCGGUAAUUC
rnacentral:rRNA from 1 species